rnacentral:rRNA from 1 species
AACGAACGCUGGCGGCAGGCCUAACACAUGCAAGUCGAACGCUGUAGCAAUACAGAGUGGCAGACGGGUGAGUAACGCGUGGGAACAUGCCCUUCGGUUCGGAAUAACUCAGGGAAACUUGAGCUAAUGCCGGAUACGCCCUUAGGGGGAAAGAUUUAUUGCCGAAGGAUUGGCCCGCGUCCGAUUAGCUAGUUGGUGAGGUAACGGCUCACCAAGGCGACGAUCGGUAGCUGGUCUGAGAGGAUGAUCAGCCACACUGGGACUGAGACACGGCCCAGACUCCUACGGGAGGCAGCAGUGGGGAAUAUUGGACAAUGGGCGCAAGCCUGAUCCAGCCAUGCCGCGUGAGUGAUGAAGGCCCUAGGGUUGUAAAGCUCUUUCGCCAGGGACGAUAAUGACGGUACCUGGAUAAGAAGCCCCGGCUAACUUCGUGCCAGCCGCCGCAGUAAAAC